rnacentral:rRNA from 1 species
UACGUAGGGGGCGAGCGUUACCCGGAAUCACUGGGCGUAAAGAGUGCGUAGGUGGUCAUAUUAGUCGUUUGUUAAACACCCGGGCUCAACCUGGGGAAUGCGGGCGAAACGGUAUGACUAGAGGGAGUGAGAGGUGAAUGGAACUCAUGGUGUAGGGGUGAAAUCCGUUGAUAUCAUGGGGAACACCGAAAGCGAAGGCAGUUCACUGGCACUUUCCUGACACUCAAGCACGAAAGCGUGGGUAGCGAACGGG